UUGUAUCAUGGGUUCGAAUCCCAU
rnacentral:siRNA from 1 species